GACGAACGCUGGCGGCGUGCCUAAUACAUGCCAGUUGAGCGAUGAAGAUUGGUGCUUGCACCAAUUUGAAGAGCAGCGAACGGGUGAGUAACGCGUGGGGAAUCUGCCUUUGAGCGGGGGACAACAUUUGGAAACGAAUGCUAAUACCGCAUAACAACUUUAAACAUAAGUUUUAAGUUUGAAAGAUGCAGUUGCAUCACUCAAAGAUGAUCCCGCGUUGUAUUAGCUAGUUGGUGAGGUAAAGGCUCACCAAGGCGAUGAUACAUAGCCGACCUGAGAGGGUGAUCGGCCACAUUGGGACUGAGACACGGCCCAAACUCCUACGGGAGGCAGCAGUAGGGAAUCUUCGGCAAUGGACGAAAGUCUGACCGAGCAACGCCGCGUGAGUGAAGAAGGGUUUCGGAUCGUAAAACUCUGUUGGUAGAGAAGAACGUUGGUGAGAGUGGAAAGCUCAUCAAGUGACGGUAACUACCCAGAAAGGGACGGCUAACUACGUG
rnacentral:rRNA from 1 species